rnacentral:lncRNA from 1 species
CGAGCUCCUCGUCGGCGGGUGAAACGGGGGCGGGCUUGGCCUUGGCUGGCGCAGCCUUCUUCUUGGAGAAGAGGGCGACGGUCUUAAAGGUGGCGGGGCUGGAGGCGGAGGGAGCAGUUCUGGAGGCGCCGGAGAAGUUGAGAGGGUUACCGAGCAUCUCGGAGACGCCGAGGGAGGAGGCGGCGGUGGUGGCAGCGAGGGAGGCCAUGAGGGUCACCGGAAAGUUGAGUCUCCGGUAGUGGGAAGUGGAAGCAAUGG